CUGCCUAGGCGCCACCAGCCCCGCGGGCUUGGCGGAGGCCCUGCUCUUCGGGUAUUUACGGCGCGCGGCCGCCCUUGCUAGGGCUUAAGUCGGCGCUUCCAUGUUCAGUUUCAGGGUCUGGCCGGUAGCCCCGGCCGGCGGGCGCGGAACGGGCAGCGGGGUGGGCACGGCAGAGUCCCCUGGGGGCCCCGGAGUUAGGAGGCCGCGUCCGGGAGCCCCGGAGGAGGAUGGGCUGCGGACGCAGCAAGCUGAGCUGCUGCAAGCCCCCCAAAAAGCCUGAAUUGGACCCCUCUGACCCAAGCUGAGAAGAACAAGUAAAGUCAGCCCAGACUGAGUUGAACUGGACCUUGGAUACCACUUGGGCUGACUCACUGAAUGUACAUAUGGAGGCUAAAGCCUAGAGAAGUGAAGGGUCUUGGCUGAGGUUUCAGAGCAACUUCAAGCAAAAUCUAGGUUAUCAUUCCCCUGGCUCAGUGUGUUUCUCUUCCCCCCUGCCCUGUGCUGCCAGUGGCUUCUUGCCUACUACAAAGCCCUUUGGCAUAAAAACCUUCACCACUGUUGCCUCAGAGCCACCUGAUGUGUCUUCUCUGCCGCAGCAAUGCCAGUCCCCUGCCCCUACAUGGCUAGUUUUGUUUAAAGUUCAUGCCUCUUUCCAUCCCUCCAGACUGUGCUCCUGCCCAAUUUCAGCCCCCUAAGGAGCCCUGGUGGUACAGUGGUUAAAGCGUUUGGCUGCUGACCAAAAGGUUGGUGGUUUGAACCCACCAGCCGCUCCAUAGGAGAAAGAUGUGGCAGUCUGCUUCCAUAAAGAUUACAGACUUGGAAACCCUGUGAGGCAGUUCUGCUCUGUCCUACAGGGUGGCUGUGAGUCGGAAUCAACUCAACGGCAGUAGGUUUGGUUUUUGGUUUUGGUUUGGAGGUAGGGGGUGCUCUGAGGAUGAGAUGUAUAAAAAACGAGGGUCAGGUCAUGGUAGCAGUGACUCACUCUGAGUGGCAGUUUACAGAGUACUUUCACAUCCUUAUCUUUGUCAAAUCACACUCAAGCCCUGGGAGCUAGGCUGAGCUGUGGAACCUUCACCGCUUUACAGGUGAGGAACCUGAGGCUUGGUGAAGAAUGCUGUGUCCAAAAUCAUAUAGCUAGUCGGUGGCAAAGCAGUGAGUUGGAGGCUGGUUUUUUGCACUCCCCACCUAGUGCCUUCCGCAGAGCACAGAGCAGGUGCAUAUUUGGAUGAAUGAAUGAGGACUAGCUAAGAG